AUUGAACGCUGGCGGCAGGCCUAACACACGCUAGUCGAGCGGAUGAAGGGAGCUUGCUCCUGGAUUCAGCGGCGGACGGGUGAGUAAUGCCUAGGAAUCUGCCUGGUAGUGGGGGAUAACGUCCGGAAACGGGCGCUAAUACCGCAUACGUCCUGAGGGAGAAAGUGGGGGAUCUUCGGACCUCACGCUAUCAGAUGAGCCUAGGUCGGAUUAGCUAGUUGGUGGGGUAAAGGCCUACCAAGGCGACGAUCCGUAACUGGUCUGAGAGGAUGAUCAGUCACACUGGAACUGAGACACGGUCCAGACUCCUACGGGAGGCAGCAGUGGGGAAUAUUGGACAAUGGGCGAAAGCCUGAUCCAGCCAUGCCGCGUGUGUGAAGAAGGUCUUCGGAUUGUAAAGCACUUUAAGUUGGGAGGAAGGGCAGUAAGUUAAUACCUUGCUGUUUUGACGUUACCAACAGAAUAAGCACCGGCUAACUUCGUG
rnacentral:rRNA from 1 species